rnacentral:rRNA from 1 species
UACGAAGGGGGCUAGCGUUGCUCGGAAUCACUGGGCGUAAAGGGCGCGUAGGCGGCGUUUUUAAGUCGGGGGUGAAAGCCUAUGGCUCAACCACAGAAUGGCCUUCGAUACUGGGACGCUUGAGUAUGGUAGAGGUUGGUGGAACUGCGAGUGUAGAGGUGAAAUUCGUAGAUAUUCGCAAGAACACCGGUGGCGAAGGCGGCCAACUGGACCAUUACUGACGCUGAGGCGCGAAAGCGUGGGGAGCAAACAGG